rnacentral:rRNA from 1 species
UACGAAGGGGGCUAGCGUUGCUCGGAAUCACUGGGCGUAAAGGGCGCGUAGGCGGCCUGAUCAGUCGGGGGUGAAAGCCUGUGGCUCAACCACAGAAUGGCCUUCGAUACUGUCGGGCUUGAGACCGGAAGAGGUAAGUGGAACUGCGAGUGUAGAGGUGAAAUUCGUAGAUAUUCGCAAGAACACCAGUGGCGAAGGCGGCUUACUGGUCCGGAUCUGAUGCUGAGGCGCGAAAGCGUGGGGAGCAAACAGG